GAUGAACGCUGGCGGCGUGCUUAACACAUGCCAGUCGAGCGAGAAGUUUUGAAAAGAUUCUUCGGAUGAAAUUUAAAAUGGAAAGCGGCGGACGGGUGAGUAACGCGUAGGCAACCUGCCCCAUACAAAGGGAUAGCAUUUGGAAACGACUAUUAAUACCUUAUGAAACUUAACUAGUGCAUGCUAGGUAGGUCAAAGAUUUAUCGGUAUGGGAUGGGCCUGCGUCUGAUUAGCUAGUUGGUGAGGUAACGGCUCACCAAGGCGACGAUCAGUAGCCGACGUAAGAGGAUGAACGGCCACAUUGGAACUGAGACACGGGCCAAACACCUACGGGAAGCAGCAGUAGGGAAUAUUGCACAAUGGGGGAAACCCUGAUGCAGCAACGCCGCGUGAACGAUGAAGGCCUGUGGGUCGUAAAGUUCUGUUCUAGGUGAUGAAAACUGACAGUAACCUAGGAGAAAGCCCCGGCUAACUCCGUG
rnacentral:rRNA from 1 species